rnacentral:rRNA from 1 species
UACGGAGGGGGCAAGCGUUGUUCGGAAUUAUUGGGCGUAAAGCGUAUGUAGGCGGCUAAGUAAGUCAGGCGUGCAAGCCCGUGGCUCAACCACGGAAUUGCGUUUGAAACUGCUUAGCUUGAGUACAGGAGAGGAAAGCGGAAUUCCCAGUGUAGCGGUGAAAUGCAUUGAUAUUGGGAAGAACAUCUGUGGCGAAGGCGGCUUUCUGGUCUGUUACUGACGCUGAGAUACGAAAGCCAGGGUAGCGAACGGG